UAUAAAAUCAAUUACUAGUUUUUAAAUGAUGUUUCACAACUUUUAAGUGUUCAAAAUUAUUUAAUUGAAGCGUACAUAGCAGGAAACUUUUACUACUAAAAUGAUAAAUAUUCUUUAUUACAUGCAAUUGAGGAAAAAUAUGGUUACCUUCCUUGUUCUUCUGACGAUGAUUGCCCGAAGGAGAUGAAACCUGUAGUUGUAAAGUGUAUACAUAACUUUUGUGAGCACUUUAUGGUGGGCGAAUACGAGGGACCAUAAUCACAUAAUUGCAAUUAGCAGGGUCAAAUUCGAACAAUUGAGAAAUUUUGGUGUCAAAAGUUUAUUUUAGCCAAUUAUUUAUUCGUCAUUAUGUUUGUUUAUUUAUUUAUUUUUUUGUUUUUUCUUAUAAAAAUUGAUUUAUGUUUCUCUGGCUUUUCAAUUAAUUAUAUUUUCAUGUAAUGCAUUAUAUUUUCCUUUAUUGGGUUUUCCAAGUUUGGAUUUUAAUGAGAUAGUUGUUUUUAUUAUUAGUUCUCUAUGGUUUUGGUCUAGUCAACCCAAGUUUUUUUUUUUUUAAUUCCGUUAUUAUUAAUAAUAAGCUUCUUUGAGGUGUUAUAGAUGUUUGUGAGGAGUUGGGGGCAACCUAGAUAGGAUGUCUUCUUGUCUUGUGAUGUCUUUGCAACUCUUUGAUAUAUAAAAAUAUAAAAUUAUUUGAAUGUCAAAAUAUUUGUGCAUCAUUAUGUUUGUAGAUUAUUGUUUUUUAUUUUUGUAAGGCAAGGGCAAAAUGACAUAAAAAAAGAAUAGUGUCCAAUUAAGUUGGAGCCCUACUCUAAUAUUUUGUCAAUUGCUCAUAUAUAUUAUUAAAAAAGGGAUAAAUUACAUGAAAACUAG
rnacentral:lncRNA from 1 species